GGACAUCAAGGGGGUGCAACUCAAUUACAUGAUGGAAUCUGGAAAAUUUACAGCAUUGCACAAAAGACUUGGCCACCGUAAAGUCUAAGACAAAAUAUUACCAAGAGGAGAGAUUCUUUCCCAUUGAACAAAACAACUAACAGCAGAAUCCGUGUAUGUGUAUGUACGCAUGGGGAUUUUACCUUGUCUAAAUUUCGACCCAAGAAGUAAUCUAUUGCAAUGUUAAUAGCCUGGAAAUUGAGAAAGAAUUAUAUGUCCCAAGAUAAAGGGAACUAUAGGCAUGGCCAUGGCCAUGGCCAUGC
rnacentral:misc_RNA from 1 species